CUUCUAGAGGAUAUUGAUUUUAAGUUUUUAACUACUAUUCUUGGAUAACGUGGUACAUUUUAAAAAAUCAAAAUGCAAAUAUUUAUACUAAUAUAAAUAUAAACCCCCAGAAAAUCACGUGUACAAGUAAAGGUAACUAUGGGGGCUUAUGUACAACUAACUGAGCUGAAAACUCCGAGGGAUGGUGUUGUGGCGGAAUCCGAUAACCAAGGACAAGUGGACGAUGGGAUGGUUCCCCUUUAUAAGAGAAGUAAAUCAUAAGAUUAUGGGGUUAAUGACUAUCAGACGGAGUUUAUCACUUGUACAUGCCAAAUGUGAAAGUUUGAUAUGGGAAAUGGAGUGAUGUUCAUGCAGUCAAGGGAGGUUUUGCAACAUAUUGUUUUCAUUUAUUGAAGAUAGCGUCUGCACCAACAUAAUGACCAAUUCUUGUGUUUUUUUUGGGGAAAAAUUCAACGUUGUAAGACGUUUUUUUUUUUACAUUCCAAAAACAGAAAAUAUUAUGGUUGAAAAACUUACAUGAGGUACUCGAAAAUCUCUUUCAGUUAUGCAAUAUGCUGGUUCUUCUUCAGAUUGGGUUUCCUGAAUUGGUGUCUUCUAUAGAUUACUUUUGAUUUCCUGUUUAUUGUUGUCAAAAAUUAUAAGAAAAAAAAAUCCCAACUGUCUUCACUCUUUAUAAAUUCCAAAGUACCCCAAAUGGAUUUUGAGUGCCCUUCAUAGGAUUGUAUUCAUUCAUUGCAUGUUCUAGUAGUAAUUAUAUUUCUCUUGUCAAAAGAUCCAACGACUUGUCUUUACAAAUUUACAUAUUAACAAAAGAGACUCUUUACAAAAUAUAUGCAAAUAAAAGUAAUAAAGAGUGAAAAAACUUAAACAUUCUCUUGUACUAGGGGCAUUGCCUCCGCACAAGCACGGAGUUGUGUACAGAGUUCUUAUUUCAUCUCAAUAUUUGUUAGGGUUAUUGUAGUUAUGAAUUUUGUGUGUUUGGAUUGAUCAUUGUUUUUCAAGUUUUUUAUUGUUAUAGGGUUAGAGUUGUGAUGAUGAACUGUGUAGGCAUUGUUCUCAAGUUAUGAAGGAUUAAACUAGGUUAAUAAUGUGAUUGAUAUAGUUCAUGGUGUUGUUUGUUGUGUCACUGAGACUUAUUGUUUGUUUGUCUUUUUAAUUUGUUUCUUCACUAUUGAGAGUACAUAAAUUAUAUUAAGGUUGUUGAGAGUACUUUUGUUUCUAGAUAUUUUUUCUCCAGUUUAGUUGUGUAAGUUUUGUGUUCUUUAGUAAUAAUUUUUAUUAUCCUUAUUAUGUUUGUUAUAAGUUUUUUUUAUUUUUAAACUUGGUGCUUUUAACAGACCUUUAAAACAAAUACAUGAAGACUUGUAGAAAAUAACUAUAAAAUGAGUGACAAUUCUGAGUAUUUGGGCAUCAAUGGAUUUUAAACGAAUUUAUGUAUUUUUCAUAAGAAGACAACUAGAUUUUGAUCCGCGCUUCAAAAGCGCGGGUUUUUUUCCGAUUAAGAAUAUUGUUUGAUAUGAAUUAUUAUUUUGGUUUUGAUGUUUUGAAGUAUAUUAUUAAGUUAUAAAGUGUUAUUAUAUCGAAAAAGUAAUAGAAUUUUAGUUUAAAAUUAUAUAAUUUAUCAAAUAGUUUAUUUUAGAUUUUAUAUGUGUAUAAAUACUAUUAAAAAGGAAGGAGUCUAAAAGUAUCUACCUAUAAAAAUUGUUUGGACCCUUUCAUUUAACU